rnacentral:rRNA from 1 species
AAUAACGAUACGGGACUCAUCCGAGGCCCCGUAAUCGGAAUGAGUACACUUUAAAUCCUUUAACGAGGACCAAUUGGAGGGCAAGUCUGGUGCCAGCAGCCGCGGUAAUUCCAGCUCCAAUAGCGUAUAUUAAAGUUGUUGCGGUUAAAAAGCUCGUAGUUGAAUCUGUGUGUCACAGUGUCGGUUCACCGCUCGCGGUGUUUAACUGGCAUUAUGUGGUACGUCCUACCGGUGGGCUUAGCCUCCACGGGGGGCGGUCCAACUAAUAUCCCAUCGCGGUGCUCUUCGCUGAGUGUCGAGGUGGGCCGGUACGUUUACUUUGAACAAAUUAGAGUGCUCAAAGCAGGCUACCUUCGCCUGAAUACUCUGUGCAUGGAAUAAUGGAAUAGGACCUCGGUUCUAUUUUGUUGGUUUUCGGAACCCCGAGGUAAUGAUUAAUAGGGACAGAUGGGGGCAUUCGUAUUGCGACGUUAGAGGUGAAAUUCUUGGAUCGUCGCAAGACGGACAGAAGCGAAAGCAUUUGCCAAAAAUGUUUUCAUUAAUCAAGAACGAAAGUUAGAGGUUCGAAGGCGAUCAGAUACCGCCCUAGUUCUAACCAUAAACGAUGCCAGCUAGCGAUCCGCCGAAGUUCCUCCGAUGACUCGGCGGGCAGCUUCCGGGAAACCAAAGCUUUUGGGUUCCGGGGGAAGUAUGGUUGCAAAGCUGAAACUUAAAGGAAUUGACGGAAGGGCACCACCAGGAGUGGAGCCUGCGGCUUAAUUUGACUC